CCAAAGGAUGGGGCCGCGACCGAUCAGGCUGUUGGCGAGGUAACGGCUCACCAAACCUAUAACCGGUACGGGCCGCGGGAGCGGGAGCCCGGAGAUGGGCACUUAGACAAGGGCCCAGGCCCUACGGGGCGCAGCAGUCGCGAAAACUCUGCAAUACGCGAAAGCGUGACAGGGCUAUCCCGAGUGCCGUCCGCUGAGGAUGGCUUUUCUCUGGUGUAAUGAGCCGGAGGAAUAAGGAGAGGGCAAGUCUGGUGUCAGCCGCCGCGGUAAUACCAGCUCUCCGAGUGGUAGGGACGAUUAUUGGGCCUGAAGCGUCCGUAGCCAGCUAAGCAAGUUUCCCGUUAAAUCCAGCGAUCUAAUCGUUGGCCUGCGGGAAAUACUGCUUGGCUAGGGGGCGAGAGAGGCCAACGGUAUUUCCGGGGUAGGGGCGAAAUCUUAUAAUCCCGGGAGGACCACCAGUGGCGAAGGCUGUUGGCUAGAACGCGCUCGACGGUGAGGGACGAAAGCUGGGGGAGCGAACCGGAUUAGAUACCCGGGUAGUCCCAGCUGUAAACGAU
rnacentral:rRNA from 1 species